rnacentral:rRNA from 1 species
CCUAAGGUAGCGAAAUUCCUUGUCGGGUAAGUUCCGACCUGCACGAAUGGCGUAAUGAUGGCCAGGCUGUCUCCACCCGAGACUCAGUGAAAUUGAACUCGCUGUGAAGAUGCAGUGUACCCGCGGCAAGACGGAAAGACCCCGUGAACCUUUACUAUAGCUUGACACUGAACACUGGUCCUUGAUGUGUAGGAUAGGUGGGAGGCUUUGAAGCGUGGACGCCAGUCUGCGUGGAGCCAACCUUGAAAUACCACCCUUUAAUGGCUGGUGUUCUAACGUAGACCCGUAAUCCGGGUUGCGGACAGUGUCUGGUGGGUAGUUUGACUGGGGCGGUCUCCUCCCAAAGAGUAACGGAGGAGCACGAAGGUUGGCUAAUCCUGGUCGGACAUCAGGAGGUUAGUGCAAUGGCAUAAGCCAGCUUGACUGCGAGCGUGACGGCGCGAGCAGGUGCGAAAGCAGGUCAUAGUGAUCCGGUGGUUCUGAAUGGAAGGGCCAUCGCUCAACGGAUAAAAGGUACUCCGGGGAUAACAGGCUGAUACCGCCCAAGAGUUCAUAUCGACGGCGGUGUUUGGCACCUCGAUGUCGGCUCAUCACAUCCUGGGGCUGAAGUAGGUCCCAAGGGUAUGGCUGUUCGCCAUUUAAAGUGGUACGCGAGCUGGGUUUAGAACGUCGUGAGACAGUUCGGUCCCUAUCUGCCGUGGGCGCUGGAGAAUUGAGGGGGGCUGCUCCUAGUACGAGAGGACCGGAGUGGACGCAUCACUGGUGUUCGGGUUGUCAUGCCAAUGGCACUGCCCGGUAGCUAAAUGCGGAAGAGAUAAGUGCUGAAAGCAUCUAAGCACGAAACUUGCCCCGAGAUGAGUUCUCCCUGACUCCUUGAGAGUCCUGAAGGAACGUUGAAGACGACGACGUUGAUAGGCCGGGUGUGUAAGCGCAGCGAUGCGUUGAGCUAACCGGUACUAAUGAACCGUGAGGCUUAACCUU